ensembl:lncRNA
CCCCACACAUCCACCAACCACUGGAACACAUCUCCAAAGUUCUGCCGGGCCAGCUCAGCUUCCCCUCAGAAGAAGUGCCGCCACCUGCCAGAUGAAGGAGCCUUUUGAGAGGCAGCUGGUAUCGUGAUUGGACUGUACUUUGGUCUGUUCCAAUCCAGCUUCAGCUCCAGAGACGGCAGGCGGGACGAGUCAACGGAGGCCUGGUGGACGAAGGCAUGCAGCUGAGUACAAUCCAGAAAACAACAGAGGAGUGCAGCAGCCCAGAACCAGAACAAGCAGAGUAGCAUCACCAAAGAACUACAGACUCUUCACAACCUGCUCAAACUCUUGGUACAGGACCUCACCACACGGGUCAAGAAGGUUGCUUUGUAGAACUGUUCCAGAAAACCUCACUAAACCACAUGGAGGGGCCUCAAGAUAGUCCAAAUGAAACCAUACAAAAACCAAACUAGCACAAUCCAAACGCUAAAGUCUCCUGCAGCCUACCAGAGAACCUCUGAGAACAGAGAAUCAGGACAGGAACUCUUACCUUCUGGACAACCAAUGUGGGUUCACAAACAAGAAUACAGAAUGUGUCUGACCAAAAACCUCUGAAGACUCACUACAGCCAAGAUAAAGACACAACUCAGCUGCACCAAAUCCACUAAUCACUGCACACAUUAGCACCAUGUGCUAACUGUGGCUAAAGAACCUCAUUUACCAAGACAACUAUCCAGUACAAAGCCCUAAAACACACCAAGAAACACAUUAAAGACGAUUUUACUGCUGGAAGCUGCAAGCCAACGCCUAAAGAACACACUAAAGCAAUGGAGCCAAACCCGAUUCAGUGGUGAAGAGAAGCAGAGGAAAUGUUUGACUGGAGCUAAAUAAAGCAGGAAGACACUGAGCUGCUCAGGUGUUCCUGAUAACACCAAGCAGCCACCUGGACAGCCAAUAGGAACACAGCUUACUGGAAGUCCAGAGGGCUGGGUUAGUGAAGGAAAUUUAGUUUAAAGUUGAGGCAGAAAGUUGACAAAGAAAGUUGAAAAUCACCUUCUGAUACCUGAAAUCUCUGAGUUUUCACACAAAGAACACCUGAACAUGUCAAACUGGUUCCACAGUAGAACCAUCAUUGUAAAAACUUCAUAGUAUGGUGUGUUGUUCAAAAAACAUUACGACCCGGCUGUCUAGGGUCGCCGAGGAGCAACACAAAAACAGGACAAACGCUGGUUUCCAGGGGGUUAGGCGGCUAUUUAUUUGAAAGAAUACGUUUACAACAACACAACAUGUGAGCAGAAAAAUCACAAAGUCUGUCUUUAGUUCAGCUGAAAAUAUUAGUUUUUGUCUUUUUUAUUGACCAAACUUUUCAGGAAGUAGAUGAAGAAUAAUUAAAGCUCUCAUGUGGAAGUCCAACUUAUUUUGGAUCCUUGUGGAGAGUUUAGAGUUUGUAAAGCUGUUGAGUUUUUAGAGUCACAUGGAUUGUUUUGACAUUUAAUAACCGAGUCCUGAAAUAAAAUUACAGUUGUGGAUUUCUGUCAUUUAGUCUGGACUAAACAAAUAACAGCAGCAUAAAUCUCAAACAUCAUUAUGAGGAGUCUGGAUUGAGGUUUCUCACUUGAUAAUGAUCAAAACAUGAAACUUAAGUUGAUUUAAAGAAUAUUCCACCUUAAAUCUUUGAAUGCUGACCUAAAAGGUUGGUUUCAGGAAGUAUUCCAC